UUUUUUUUGUUUUGUUUUUUUUUUUGUCCUGAGUCACAUCACAGGGGAUCAAUAUGAACCUGUGUCACCCUGUAAUCCUCGUAGGCUAUAGCAUCCAUAGUCAGCCCAUAUACAACACACACAUCCACACACUCUCUCACACACAUAAACUCUAAUCCUGCAGGUUAUUUCUGUGCUUAUGGAUAUAGGUUGCAGAGCCCGGUCACUGGGUUCAGCUGUAAUAUCACUUGAAUGCAACUUUACUACACACAGACAUGCACGCACACACCUUGUAAAGCAGGUUUUCUCAGCUAGUACAUGUGUGUGUGUCUGGGUGUGUGUGUGUGCGUGUGUGUGUGUGUGUGUGCUUCUAACAAAAGCUUACAAAAUACGUUGUCAUUUUAGCUUCAUUAACAUUAAAUAGCGAUGCAAUUCUUUAAUGUUAAAGUUCUUCAUGCACCUUUUUUGUAAGUAAAGAACUAAGUCAGAAAAUUCCAGAAGAGUUUAAUUCUUUUUGAAACAAAAUUGGUUCAGUACAUUUAAAAAAAAUAGUCAAAUCACAUUGUAAUAUUUCUUUGUAAAGAUGUGUAUUUUUUUUUAAAUGUGGGUAUUAAUCAUAAUAUAACUUUUAUCCAGCCUUAAGAAGCAUAAUAAUAUAUUAAAAAUACAUUAAUAACUUCCUGAACACUUAAAGUGUUAUGGUUUGCCCAGACGUACUAAACAGACAAUCUUUAGGAAAAGGUUUGUAUGAUAUUUCAUUAGCUGUCUAGCUAUAAAAAAACGAGGAAGUAUAUAAGCCUUUUCUUUGAUUUCAAAUAAAUAUAAAAUGCAGUACUAUCUGGAACCCAUCCAACAUACAGAAUAAAAGCUGCUCUGAUUAAGCAUACUUUACCCGGUUAUUUUAUUUUAUUUUAUUUUUUUACAGGGGCUCCGAUGCAGAAAAACUUCUGUAAAUGUCAGAGUGGUCCUUUAAUAUCCAUGUUUUUCACUCCCUCCUCUGAUGUUUCAUCAAUAAAGCAUUUGCGAGAUUAAUUGGGCAACAGCAGCACGUCCGGACUUGUCUUUAAAGUACUUGUGACGUCGGGGAGAGAAACUGAUAUUUAUUAACUCACAAGAGGAGAAACAAUAGGCCAUUACAAGUUGGAAUAUCCAUAAAAUCAGAGUUGUUUUGCCAUAGUGAAAUAAAAGUUGCCAUUUUGAAUGUUUUUGAUAAGGGAUCUAAUUUGAGUGCGGAGGAACACAUUUAGAUCAUUAGCAAUUUUAUUGUAUAAUUCGACUGUUAACAGUUUUUUUUAGCUAGCCAUUAUAACAUAUUAAACAUUUUUUAAUUGUAUGUUGUUAAUAUUUCAAACCAUGUAAUAUAAUAUUUGAAAAGGAAAAAAAAACAGUGAAUAUGUAAUUGGAAAAUAACUUCUGAUGGAGUUAAAAGUUGCUAAAGGUGUAACACUGAACUUCAGCUUUGUUCCAUCUUCAAAUAAGUGAUAACUUGUUCUAGGAUGCUGUUGUGCUUCAUAAUUUAAAUUUUGAUUUAUUUUUCAGUGGCUAUAAUUAGCUUUUUUACGAAUAAAAAUGAGUGCAUUUUUCCUUAAAGUCCUUCCUGGGAGUUCAAUAAAACAGCAAAUAGUGCUUUUUCGAGCGGCGGAGGGGGCAGGAGAGGAGAGGGGGAGUGAGGCUGCCUCUGAUAAUCAUCUCUACGCAGCCUAGUUUUUACACAUAUUUCCCCGUUAUGAGCCGUCUUCUCCUCUCUCUCGCACACAUUUGGAGUUAUUAAAUUAGAUUCAGAGUAGCGUUGUGUGUCUGCUCGGACACCGGGGCAGGUUGUGUAAGUGCUUCACCUCAGUUGAACUUCGGCGCAUCUGUGUUCGUCGGCGGCGAAGGACUCGGCAGCUUCUCCGUGUCCCCGAUGAACUCUGCGACAUAGCCGGGGAGAGAGACGCGGGAGACGGGGUUUACAGCCUUUCGAGACCCGGGAAGCUCCUCUUGGAGAGUGCCUGUCGAUAUAUCCUCUUUACCAGCAUUUUACAAGCCAAAAUUGCCGCAUUUAGGGAUAUUUUUUGUAGUGUUUUUUUCUGCUGGGGGAAAAUAAUAGGAAAUAAAAAAACCCGCGGAGGAGGAAGUGACCAGCCAACAAACUUCACACAUGAACUUGAGGCAUAACGGACGAGAGUCGGGCUGAGUGAGGACGACCUGGGAAGCGAAAGACGCUGCAGCGCAGGAAGGAGAUGUGGGCAUACCGUGUGCUGCCGUGGACGUUUUCCAUCGCAAUAAGUCCGCAGAGAACCCCACGGUUUAUCCUGGACGGCCGAUUCCAGUCGCUCCGAAGCGGGCUCAUUAUUUAGGAGUUACUCAAUUUUUUCUGGCUGGAAGUCAAAAUUGAGCUUCAGGUUGAGGAAACCAGAGACGAGGUGAGCUGAUGGAGCGCUCAGACCUGACACUGUGGAGGGGAAGUGACCUGAAAAACUCCAAGUGACGUGCAGGAAGUAGACAGCUGUGUUAAAUUACACUCUUGACUCAGGGAUGGGGGAAAAAAAGGGAAAACAUCUUCACAUUAACCAGUUCAAGCAUGGAACAAACACUGCUGAUAUAAUCAGAUUAAUGAGGGGAGAAAAAAAACACCUUUAACAACUUUGGAAAUAUAAUUUUUCUUGUUUAUAUUGUGUUGAUAUGGACUCUGGGUUCAAAAUAUAAGAUGGGUAAUAAAUUAAGUGAACUUAGGUGAAAAUAGGAAAUUUUAACAAUCUGCUAAAUUUUGAGGAUUUCAGCGUAUUUACUUAAAAAUAUAAUGAAAAUGCAUAAGCUUUGGCAAGAAUUAAAUGAAAAAAUUACUCCAAUUGCUGGAAAAAUAAUUGAUUAUUAAAGUUCUCAUGUUUAAGUUCUAUUUAGCAGGGCAUCUUGCAGCUGACCUACAUUUGGCUACUUAGCAAAGAUACUGCUAGUAAUUUGAGAACAUUAAUUGAUUGAUUCUUUAUUUUCCACAUUAUGAAUCUGUUGGUGGGUUUUUUACGAUUGGGAUUGUUGUCUUAUGUUCCUUUAAGCAUGGAAAAAAGUGCAGCUGAACAGCAGUGUGCAGCAACAAUUAGAAACAAAUCAGCGCUACUCUAUGCCAAAUCCAGCUAGGACAGCAAUAUGAAUGAUGAAUUUUAGAGGACACCCAAAUGCCGGCCCGUGCCUGCCUGUAACUAAUGGUUAAAAUUAGUCAAAUUUAUCUUGUGUACGUCUGUCAGUUGUUUUAAGUUGCUGUUUCCACAGGUUAAACUGCAGAGGAUUUACAAGUGGCAGCAGCAAGAGACAAACUGUCCUUUGGGGUGAGGUAGUAGGUUGUAUAGUUUUAGGGUCAUUCCCAAGCUGUCAGAUGACUAUACAACUUACUGUCUUUCCUGAAGUGACUGUGAUGGCUGCGUUGUCAUGACACACCGAGACGUCCUGCAGAUUUACAGGAACAUCCGAUGUUUUUUUAAUGUGAUAAUCUGUGUGCAUCCUGUUGUAUAUUUUUUAACUCAUUAACAAGCAGAGGCGGUCCUAGCCUGUUUGGCGCCAUAAUUGCAAUUACAUUAUGACAUAGGUUGAAAACAAACAUUAAUUCUAAUGUUAACUUACAACAAAUAAUUUUAUAUCAAAGUAAGCCUUUAUAAUAAGAAAUUAAAUGUUAUUUUUAAGUACAGAAAUAUAUCGAACAGCAGUGUUUAGUCAUGUUAUUCCCUCUCACAGUGUAAUGUUUCAAAUUUUUAAUCAUAGUCUUCUGUUUAAAUGCAUCGAUAUUUUUGUAGUUUUCUUCCCUUUUGGUAGUUGUGCUUCACGUCUUCUUUUGACUUGAGACUCAUGGUGUUCGCACAGGGUGAGGUAGUAGGUUGUGUGGUUUCAGGGUUGUGAUUUUGCCCCAUCAGGAGCUAACUAUACAACCUACUGCCUUCCCUGGAGGGCAGCAAUACAUCACAGGAGCGCAAACCUCUUUAUCAUCUUUCUAAUGACCCUUAAAACACUUGGCACAUGACUGGUAUUCAGUUUCAAACUCGUCUCUGAAUGGGUAAGUGAUGCUGCUUCAGCAGGCGUUUUCGCUGAAACAUGACUCCUUGUACAGACUGUACAAAAAACUGUACGCUUGGUUUAUUCAUUGAUUCGCCAUGUAUUUCCUUCUUAAUUAAAUAAAGAUAUAACUGCAAAAAAAUGAUUGAAGUCGGGUCUUCUUUCUACACCAAAGCUAAUUAUUGAAAUAUUUUCUCCUUGAAAUCCUGGCAUGUAAUCCCUUUUAAGUAGCUCAUUAUAUAACAAAACACUCACAGUAUCUAAGAGGCUUCUGAAGCUUAUCUCCUCAUCUGUCUUUU